rnacentral:rRNA from 1 species
CCUACGGGUGGCAGCAGUGAGGAAUAUUGGUCAAUGGGCGCGAGCCUGAACCAGCCAAGUAGCGUGAAGGAUGACUGCCCUACGGGUUGUAAACUUCUUUUAUAAAGGAAUAAAGUGAGGCACGUGUGCCUUUUUGUAUGUACUUUAUGAAUAAGGAUCGGCUAACUCCGUGCCAGCCGCCGCGGUACUCCGGGGGAUCCGAGCGUUAUCCGGAUUUAUUGGUUUUAAAGGGAGCGUCGCUGGGUGGUUAAGUCAGUUGUGAAAGUUUGCGGCGCACCCGUAAAAUUGCAAUUGAUACUGGCAGUCUUGAGGAGAGGUGAGGUAGGCGGAAUGUGUGGUGUAGCGGUGAAAUGCUUAGAUAUCACGAAGAACGCCGAUGGCGAAGGCAGCUUACU